CUGACAUGAUGUUUGUGCUCCACAGCUCGUACAGAUUGUUCUGUUGUCGACUACAUCAUGUUGGUUCUGCGUGUGGCUGAACUCGUCCUGAUUACUGUGAUUACUGUUCUUCUCAUCAGAGCUCCAGGGAACCGGAGAGCGCCUGAUGACGACACUGUGCAUCAUGAUGAAGACGUCGUCUCAGUGAGCUAUGACAAUGCUGAUGGCCCCUCUGCCUCUGUCUUCACCGGUCAACAACGUCGACUUCAACUCAGAACAAAUAAGAAAAUGAGAAAAAAAAAACCCUGGCAGAACCAUUUUCAACUGUUUCUUCCCGCA